rnacentral:lncRNA from 1 species
CAAGGAUAACCCAGCACUGCGUGGACGUGGUGCAGGAGAUGCAGAUCUGACCCCAGCACUGCAUGGACAGCGUUGCAGGAGAUGCAGAUCUGAGCUGCCGUGCACCCGUGCUGCAAGGAUGACCCAGCACUGCAAGGACAGCGUUGCAGGAGAUGCGGACCUGACCCAACGCUGCGCCCACACUGCAAGGAUACGGGGUGCAGGAAAUGCAGCUCUGAGCCCCUCGUUGAAUUGCACUGCAAGGAUACGGCGCAGGAAUUGCAGCUCUGAGACCUCAGUGCACUGCACCGCACGGAUGGGGUGCAGGAAAUGCAAAUGUGAGCUGCACUGCAAGGAUUGUGUGCAGGAAAUGCAGCUCUGAACCCUCGCUGAGUUGCACUGCAAAGGGAUGCAGUGCAGGAAAUGCAACCGUGGGCUGCACUGCAAGGAUUGGGUGCAGGAAAUGCAGCUCUGAACCCUCGCUGAGUUGCACUGCAAGGAUGCAGUGCAGGAAAUGCAACCGUGGGCUGCACUGCAAAGGGGUGCAGUGCAGGAAAUGCAACUGUGGGCUGCACUGCACGGCUGGGGUGCAGGAAAUGCAGCUCUGAACCCUCGUCGAAUCGCACUGCAAAGGGAUGCAGUGCAGGAAAUGCAA